rnacentral:tRNA from 1 species
AUUCUUCUAGUAUUAAUAGUACAAGUGACUUCCACUCACUAAGACUCAGCCCACCCCUGAGGAAGAACA